rnacentral:rRNA from 1 species
GUGCCAGCAGCCGCGGUAAUACGAAGGGGGCUAGCGUUGUUCGGAAUUACUGGGCGUAAAGCGCACGUAGGCGGAUUUGUAAGUCAGGGGUGAAAUCCCGGGGCUCAACCUCGGAACUGCCUUUGAUACUGCAAGUCUCGAGUCCGAUAGAGGUGAGUGGAAUUCCUAGUGUAGAGGUGAAAUUCGUAGAUAUUAGGAAGAACACCAGUGGCGAAGGCGGCUCACUGGAUCGGUACUGACGCUGAGGUGCGAAAGCGUGGGGAGCAAACAGGAUUAGAUACCCGCGUAGUCC